AGGAUGAACGCUGGCGGAGUGCCUAAUACAUGCAAGUCGAGCGGCAGCACGAGUAGUUUACUACUUGGUGGCGAGCGGCGGACGGCUGAGUAACGCGUGGGAACAUGCCCCAAAGUGAGGGAUAAGCUCCAGAAAUGGAGUCUAAUACCGCAUAUGAUCUUCGGAUUAAAGCUUUCGAGCGCUUUGGGAGUGGCCCGCGUCCGAUUAGAUAGUUGGUGAGGUAAAGGCUCACCAAGUCUACGAUCGGUAACUGGUCUGAGAGGAUGAUCAGUCAGACUGGAACUGAGACACGGUCCAGACUCCUACGGGAGGCAGCAGUAAGGAAUCUUCCACAAUGGGGGAAACCCUGAUGGAGCAACUCCGCGUGCAGGACGAAGGCCUUAGGGUCGUAAACUGCUUUUAUGAGUGAAGAAUAUGACGGUAACUCAUGAAUAAGGGUCGGCUAACUACGUGCCAGCAGCCGC
rnacentral:rRNA from 1 species